GCAAGAUCCCUGAAUCCGCCUUUGCCUUCAGCUUUGCCCGAAUCGCAAAAUCCGGCGGGCUGCGGCUCGGCGCGGCCGGCGGCGGGUCACGCCACGGAAGGGAGGCGCGCAGGCGGCUGCGGCGAUCAGGCCACGGCGCCGCUCAGGGGUCUAGGUCUGACCAUGUCCUUUGCCUUGGAGAGAAGAAUGGUUCUGAAUAAUCCAAAUUGCUUUGCAAAACAUUUUUCUGCAUCAGCCUGGGACUGCCAUAUAUUGAGUGUACCUUUGAUGAAGAAAUCAUGUAGAAAAAUAUGUCAUCUCAACUAAAAAGUGGUGGGAAAACAAGGAACAUGUACCGAAGGUCACAGAGGAACAUGAUGAGAUGUUAAUAUGCAAAUUGAUUAAGAAGUGGAUAGCUGAGCAGAAGCCAUCAAAGAGUGCUGGCCAUUGCUCUGCUCAGCAGGAACACGGUGAAGAACUUGGAAACCAAAACAAACUAUCUUGCCCGAUAGUAAAUUUACUUGGAGGUGUGCACCCUUCUUCAGAGCAACAAGCGCCUGAAGGAAAGAACCGGACAAUUAAAUCAUGUUCCUUUUCAGUGUUUAUUGGCUCCUUGAAGACAAACAAGAAGAGCAAAUCCUUCCAAGUUAGCAAUGCGGUGCUGGAAUUGUAGGAUGGCCAAAAGAAAGAGUCAUUGGUAUAAACAUGAAUAUACCACAAAGCUUUAAAAGAAGAUGCAGAGUAAGAACGCUUCAUGCUGCAUACCUGCUCGACUCCUCUAGUAGCAGAGCCCCUCGCCUCAAAGCCCCCAGCCAUUGCAGCCAGGAAAGAGGCAGCAAAGGAAACGGAGAACGACGCCCUGAGCCGAGCUCAGGUUCAAACCUGCUUUGAUCAAUAGUCGGGGAAAGCAAAAGAUGGCAGCAAAGUGACAGAAAGAACCACGCAAGGAAAGAAGCAAAGCAAGAGAGAGGACGGACGGGCAGUCAGGCAGGCAGAGCUUGAGGACGGAGGAGGAGGGAGAAGCAGCACCGUCCGGCCUGCGCAAUUCAGGGGACCCGGAAAAGAAAACGGUGGCAAAUUUUAUUAACUGCGCGGCAGCGCGGGUUUAAAGAGGAGAGAGUAGGUGAGUCCCAGUCUUUGCUUCGCUCGACACAACCUGCAGAGUCGUACUGUGAUCAGUUGUACUGCUGGUGAUGCUUUGGUCGUGUGCAUCUCCAAGGAUUUUCUGCGUGGCCACAGAUCAGGUAAGAGUCGCUUCGUUACCUUUGUUGCCACAAAAGAUACUGUAUUACACAGUGUUACUAGUGUUUUUGCCGUAGUAGAUUGCUUAACUCUUGAUGGUUUGAUAUAUUUAUCGUUACUCGCGGUAACGAGUAACGACGUUGUUUUACAACUGAAAGUGAAAAGAUGGAGAGCGAGGCAAGUAGGUAGCAGAGGGAUUUCGGUAGGCAUGUGAAGCACCAGCGAGACAAGCAUGACAGACCAAGGGAAAAGAUAAAACUUGUCCUGCCUAUCAAUAGCAUUAGCAAUAAAUGUAUUAAUUUGUUACCCGUGCUUUUCCCGUGUAACGACAUGGCAGUAACUCGUGGACAAUUUCGGCUGCGAUUUAGGAGUACCACUGUCCAUGCACAAA